CAGAAACUUGAAGACUGAAAAUGCUAGUGCCAGAAAAGUUGAUCAGACAUCGAGCUGACGAAGCAGUUUCUCGACAAUAUGUGUGUGGCUUGUAAAUGAGAGGCCAAAAUUUAUGCCAAGUGCCCGGGGCAAAGGACAGAGCACGAAGGACGAAGGACGAGGGAGGAAGGACGGGAUGCGUUCUCUAGCACACACUUCCGGCACGAGCACGUCAGACUUGACUUGACUUGAGACUCCAGAAAACUUGGCUACUCUCGUUCUCCCCCACGUUUUCUCUCUCUCUAUCUUUUUCACUUUAGAGCGGGGGCGUAGCAGCACCCCCAGAUGUCUCAGACACGCACAGCCCAGA